rnacentral:lncRNA from 1 species
AAUGUUUCUGAGUACAGGCAGUGCUCUAGCGAUGUCUUACAACAGCAAAUAAUGUUCUAAAGUUGUGCCGGGGAGGUUUAGACUGGAUGUUGGGAAGAAUUUGGAUAUCAGAUAUUAAGAAGAGUGUCUUCAUGCAGCAAUCAAGCAUUGGAAUGGCUGCCCAGGGACCAAGGAGCGAAACCUGGGAUUUACACUAGCAACUGUUUUAAGAAAUAUGUUCCUGGCCCUGAGCAUCAUCUCAAAGGAAGAGAGCGAGCUCAUCUCUGUGACCCAUCCACCUUGAAGGACUAAUAGAGAUGUAGGGCACCAAGGCAUGGUGAGGUUAAACACAACCAUCGUU